rnacentral:lncRNA from 12 species
AAGGGACAUGAGGUCCCAAAAUUAAAAGCUGCAAUUGCACUUCCACUGCAGCCUUUCAGGUCUGAGCUCCAGCCGUGCCUUAGCCAAGCUCUGCUCCAGUUCGGUUGCAAAUUUCCACAGCACUGUCUGCCUUCCCCUGAAAUGUCCUUCCUGUGCCACUCCUUACACAUCUUAUCCACAGGGCUCCCCUGAGGGUCUUCAUCACACAACUUUUCUGAGUGACUGCAGCAAAGGAAUUCUCCGUCAGCCAGAAUUUAAUUGGAGGAAGAGGCCAAAUAAGAGGCCUCACUGCACCCUAAUUCAGCCUGGAGUAAUAACAGAAAAUG